UCCAAUCACAAGUACAAUAGCAAUUAGCCACUGCCCAAACAAAGCAGGGGGCUUGACCACCACGAACUAAAACCGUAAACAAAGUUAACAUUAAUAGCCUGUAGCCACUGUAGCGAGGUGUGCUUUACUUUAUUUAGCCAAUAACACUUUAUUAAAUCAUUAAGCACUGAUACAACAUAUAGAAUAGGGGAGUUGAGGUGUUGAAAACAACAUCAUGAACGCCCUCACACACAAAUUCUAGACACAUUAAACAGGAAUUCAAAUUUCAACUUAUUUAUUUUGCGAGGACUUUAACUUAUUCUUGAUCAUCGAAAAUGGAACUAAUACAUGAGUUCCUAGUUCUCGGAUUUCUUACAUGAAGGGAGAAUAGUCAAAGAUAACACUUGUUGACUUGCUAGAUUCAGAUUCUACUCCAGAAUUUUUGACUGGAUAGUAAGCUUGUGUAUUAAUUGCACACACGCCAUACAUCACCUGAAGAGAGGCAUAAGAAUGUAAAGAAGAUUAUGAAGAUUAAAAAGAGGUUUGAAGUGUGAGAAAUCAUCAUCCUUUACUAAAACUCAAUGAUUAAACUUUGUAUGGAAAGAUG
rnacentral:lncRNA from 1 species